rnacentral:rRNA from 1 species
UGCAAGUCGAGCGGACAGAAGGGAGCUUGCUCCCGGAUGUUAGCGGCGGACGGGUGAGUAACACGUGGGUAACCUGCCUGUAAGACUGGGAUAACUCCGGGAAACCGGAGCUAAUACCGGAUAGUUCCUUGAACCGCAUGGUUCAAGGAUGAAAGACGGUUUCGGCUGUCACUUACAGAUGGACCCGCGGCGCAUUAGCUAGUUGGUGGGGUAAUGGCUCACCAAGGCGACGAUGCGUAGCCGACCUGAGAGGGUGAUCGGCCACACUGGGACUGAGACACGGCCCAGACUCCUACGGGAGGCAGCAGUAGGGAAUCUUCCGCAAUGGACGAAAGUCUGACGGAGCAACGCCGCGUGAGUGAUGAAGGUUUUCGGAUCGUAAAGCUCUGUUGUUAGGGAAGAACAAGUGCGAGAGUAACUGCUCGCACCUUGACGGUACCUAACCAGAAAGCCACGGCUAACUACGUGCCAGCAGCCGCGGUAAUACGUAGGUGGCAAGCGUUGUCCGGAAUUAUUGGGCGUAAAGGGCUCGCAGGCGGUUUCUUAAGUCUGAUGUGAAAGCCCCCGGCUCAACCGGGGAGGGUCAUUGGAAACUGGGAAACUUGAGUGCAGAAGAGGAGAGUGGAAUUCCACGUGUAGCGGUGAAAUGCGUAGAGAUGUGGAGGAACACCAGUGGCGAAGGCGACUCUCUGGUCUGUAACUGACGCUGAGGAGCGAAAGCGUGGGGAGCGAACAGGAUUAGAUACCCUGGUAGUCCACGCCGUAAACGAUGAGUGCUAAGUGUUAGGGGGUUUCCGCCCCUUAGUGCUGCAGCUAACGCAUUAAGCACUCCGCCUGGGGAGUACGGUCGCAAGACUGAAACUCAAAGGAAUUGACGGGGGCCCGCACAAGCGGUGGAGCAUGUGGUUUAAUUCGAAGCAACGCGAAGAACCUUACCAGGUCUUGACAUCCUCUGACAACCCUAGAGAUAGGGCUUUCCCUUCGGGGACAGAGUGACAGGUGGUGCAUGGUUGUCGUCAGCUCGUGUCGUGAGAUGUUGGGUUAAGUCCCGCAACGAGCGCACCCUUGAUCUUAUUGCCAGCAUUCAGUUGGGCCUCUAAGUGACUGCCGUGACAACCGGAGGAAGGUGGGGAUGACGUCAAUCAUCUGCCCCUUUGACUGGGCUACCACGUGCUACAUGGAAGAAAAAAGGGUGCGAAACGCAAGGUUAUCAAUCCCUAAAUUGUUUUCUUUCGGAUCCAACUGCACUCACUGGGGGAACUGGAAUCCUUUAAUCCGGAUAAAUGCCCCGGCAGCAUGCCGCGGUGAAUACGUUCCCGGGCCUUGUACACACCGCCCGUCACACCACGAGGAGUUUGCAACACCCGGAAGUCGGUGAAGGUAACCUUUAUGGAGCCAGCCGCCGA